UACGUAGGGGGCAAGCGUUGUCCGGAUUCAUUGGGCGUAAAGAGCUCGUAGGCGGCUUGGCAAGUCGGGUGUGAAACCUCCGAGCUUAACUCGGAAAGGUCAACUGAUACUGUGCGGCUAGAGUGCGGAAGGGCAACUGGAAUUCUUGGUGUAGCGGUGAAAUGCGUGGAUAUCAAGAGGAACACCUGCGGCGAAGGCGGCGACCUGGGUAGAUACUGACGCUGAGGCGCGAAAGCGUGGGAGCAACAGG
rnacentral:rRNA from 1 species